ACAAAGCCACGCCUGACGUUGCAGUCAGCAACAAGCUGCAGCCAAGGUGUGCCUUAUAAAGAGCAGGAUGGACAGCAGGUGUGAGCCCUCAGCGUUUGGGCCUUAAGGAGACAGGCCUGCCUCUCUUCUGCCUGACCUUCUGCUGUCUACAUUCUGGAGACACCCUGAAACCCAGCCAUGGACCACAGGGUAAGAACCCCUGCUUUAGAUCUCCGGGUGGACACAGUUCCUGCUCACAGGCAGGUGGAUGCUCCAGCAGAAUCCACUUCCUGUGCAGCUUGGAAGAAUUUGGUAACCUGUGCCUCUGAGCAUAUGUUGCCACCACUCACUUCACUUCAGGCAGGAAAGGUCUAUGGAGAAGGUCUUCAGAAAGUAACCUUAGGGUAAAGUGGGGAAUCUGCAACCCUCCAGAUGUUCCUGGACCUCAUCUUUCAGUAUCUCUGGCAGAUGGCCUUGCUGGCUACAACAUCCAACAACAUCUGGAGUCCAGUCUGUUUCU